UACGGGGGGGGCAAGCGUUGUUCGGAAUUACUGGGCGUAAAGGGCUCGUAGGCGGCCAACUAAGUCGGACGUGAAAUCCCCAGGCUCAACCUGGGAACUGCGUCCGAUACUGGAUGGCUUGAAUCCGGGAGAGGGAUGCAGGAUUCCAGGUGUAGCGGUGAAAUGCGUAGAUAUCUGGAGGAAUACCGGUGGCGAAGGCGGCAUCCUGGACCGGCAUUGACGCUGAGGAGCGAAAGCCAGGGGAGCAAACGGG
rnacentral:rRNA from 1 species